AGAUUGAACGCUGGCGGCAGGCCUAACACAUGCAAGUCGAACGGUAACAGGGAGCAGCUUGCUGCUCUGCUGACGAGUGGCGGACGGGUGAGUAAUGUCUGGGAAACUGCCUGAUGGAGGGGGAUAACUACUGGAAACGGUAGCUAAUACCGCAUAACGUCUACGGACCAAAGUGGGGGACCUUCGGGCCUCAUGCCAUCAGAUGUGCCCAGAUGGGAUUAGCUAGUAGGUGGGGUAACGGCUCACCUAGGCGACGAUCCCUAGCUGGUCUGAGAGGAUGACCAGCCACACUGGAACUGAGACACGGUCCAGACUCCUACGGGAGGCAGCAGUGGGGAAUAUUGCACAAUGGGCGCAAGCCUGAUGCAGCCAUGCCGCGUGUAUGAAGAAGGCCUUCGGGUUGUAAAGUACUUUCAGCGGGGAGGAAGGUGUUGUGGUUAAUAACCACAGCAAUUGACGUUACCCGCAGAAGAAGCACCGGCUAACUCCGUGCCAGCAGCCGCGGUAAUACGGAGGGUGCAAGCGUUAAUCG
rnacentral:rRNA from 1 species